GGUUUUCUAUAGCACCGACGGCAGGGGGCCACGUGGGGAUUUGAGCGACAAGGAAACGUGACGAGGUGGGGCCCGCGAUCUCGGCCAAUGGAGCGGGCCCGGCCGGACCGGCCCCGGUUCGUGCGGCCGCCUGUCGUGCCUGCCCUCUCCCGUCUCCUUCUCCUUGUCGUCUUCUUUCCUCCCUCUCGCCAAUAAUACAUAUGGG
rnacentral:lncRNA from 1 species